AAUACCCACAGGGCAGAACCAUCCUGCCUCAAUCCGCUUUGGCGGUGGAGAUGAUCUCCGCCAGAACCCCGUGCAGGGCGUCGCGAUAGCCGUUGCGUGCCGAGGGGCCGCUUUCAUCCGACGUCAUGACCACCGUCAGGUUCAGGGACGGCACUAUGUAGAGCAUCUGGCCGCCAUAGC
rnacentral:sRNA from 1 species